GAUUUUUAUUGUCUACUGGAAUGUCAUUUAUGUCAUAUUGCAACAGUUCUAGUAGGCUAUUGUAUCAGUUUAGUUAAAACCAAAAUAUAGCGCCUGUUAUAUAUAAAUAUUUAUACAUAUAAUAACAUUAAAAUUUUAAUACAUCAUAAAAGGAAACUAUUAAUAGUACAAAAUUAUACAUCAAGUAAAUAAUAUCCAUAAAGCAAAUAUUCUAGCCAUGAGUGCAGUUUAAUACAUUUCAAGAGAGUAAAUAAGUUUAAAAAAUAUUGGUAAUAAAAGAUUUCUAGAACAUUCAUCUGUAACAAUUCAAAAUUCAUCUCAAGUAAGGUCUAGUUCUUCAUCUUCUUCAUAAUUCAUUUCUUGAUCUACUCCACCUACAAAAGAGGAUAAAUACAUAAAGUUAUUACCCUUCAAGAGAAUCCGGUCUAAGAAUACUCAAGCAUUUAAAUGUUUUCGUUCCUUUUUUAUUAAUCCAACUUAUUCAUCUCAACAAACUAUACGCAAUAUUAUAACAAUCUGAUAUUAUUACCAAGGACCAAGACUUUCAAACUAUCAAGCUAUGAUGGCUAAAGAAUAAUGCAUAAGAAUAAUCACAAACAUAAUUACAAAACCAACAUGAAACAUCAACUAUCUUAAGCAUCUCUGUCAAUAAAACCACACACGUAACAGAUAGCACAAACUGUUAAAUUACAUAGGCAUUUACGGCAACAAAUUGCACUUGAGACACUAGUUGGCCCAAAAAUUACAAGUUUCCAACCAUUCAGCCACCAUUCUCACAUCCCAAGUUCUGCGCGCUACUAUAUGUUUCAAGUGCUAACUUUGAUAAAAAUCUGUAUGUUUGGUUGAGUAAGUAGGUUUUCUUGGUGCCUAACCCCAAUGCUGAAUCAUGGAAUGAUAUAUAUCUUGAACUAAAACCUUCAACAAUAUCUUGUCUAAUAAGUUGAAAUUUUCAACCAGCGGCAUAUCACAAUGUAUAUUUGAAGUGUAUAAGAGUAUAUUUUCUUACAUUUAAUCAAUAAGGAAUAUGCCUAGCUUCUCAGAGAACAUGACCAUGUUUCUGUUUAUUAUUCAAUUUCUCUGCACCCCAACUUUCUCCUAUAGGUUCUUUUUCUCCAAAUAAAUCUCAUAAAAUUGAACCUUCUUAACUUGCAUAACGGUCAAUAGAAUACAAGCUUUGUACUACAUCUUGUUGAGUUGCCCCACAUCGGAGGGAUUUGAGGUCCUUGGUUUCCUUAUAUGGCUUGGGCAAUCCUCACCUCAUAAGCUAGCUUUUGGGGUUGAGUUAGGCCCAAUGUCCUUGGUCUCCUUAUAUGGCUUAGCCAAUUCUCACCUCAUAAGCUAGCUUUUGGGGUUGAGUUAGGCCCAAUGUCCAUUCUUUUCACAUCUCAGGUUGAAAAUUAAAACAGUUGUACAUAAUGGUGAGUUGGUAGCUUUAUCAAUUUACUAAUGCCUUAUACGGUUGACAAACAAUGAGUUAAUCUAAACUGAGCAAAUUUUAUAUCAUGGUUUUUGCAGCAAACAAUAAGCAGGUGGCUUCUUAAGCAUCUAUCUGUCUAUCUAUUCCAAUUUAAAUUCCCAAAGAUCUACUAUUCUUCCAGUAUUACUCAGGUAUUAUUACUGAACAUAGGAGACCACUUGACACUUAAGAAAUCAUAUACUCCUACUAAAUAGAAAAACGAUAUUACCAUAUUCACUCUACCUUGAACCAAAGCAAAAUUCCAAGCAAGGAAGGAGGAGAGAAGAAAUAGAAGAAGAUAUAUAAGAUUUGGUAUUGCGCCGAGGGUCGAAUGGAAACAGCCUCUCUACCCUUUCGGGUAGGGGUAAGGCUCGUCUACAUAUUACCCUCCCCAGACCCCACUUGGUAGGAAUAUACUGGGUAGUUGUUGUUGUUGUAUAUAAGAUUUGGUAUGUACUUACCUUGGUUGUUACUACCAGCAGAUGAUCGACUGUUUAGCUGAACAUCAGCUUGUUGUGCAGAGGAAGCAUAUAUAUGUGAAUAUGUACUAAACCUUAACAUGUAUUAAAGCUUGCUUGAUUAAGUACUAUAACAACAACUAUCAGAUUUCAAACAAAAGAACUUGGUAGUUUUCUUCAGGUUCUAAAGAAACACCACCUCGAAUCCUUUAAGCAUAAACAUAACAUUUCAGAAACAAAUAUGAUCAAUCUUUCAACCAACAGUAGCUAUUCACUAGAUUCAAUUCAAACAGUCAAACACUAGUAUUCCAUGCAGUAGUAGACACGAUCAAAUCAUAAUAACAGUGCUGUUAUGAUUCACUUACCGAAGACAAGAUAAUAGAUUCAGGAUGUAAUUACCUUGUGAGGAUAGAAGUUACUAUAUCUAAGAAGAUUCUUAAAAAGAGAUUCCGGAACAUCUACUGCCUAUUCUUCAUCCGAAGCUCAUCAUUCUCAUAGGCUGUAUAGUGUGUUGUCUUAAAUUGACUCUUAUACUUUCUCCAAGCACUACAAACUGAUUCAAAAAUGCAUUGUGUCGCCUCGUCCGGAAUGUUAUAAUUCCAAUAUCUUCUUAAAAGAAUAUAGGUUAGCAAAAGCAACAAAGCUUAAAAGAAUGUCAUCACACAAAGCAAACAUAUUUAUUGCUGGUAUAUUUACAAGCUUAUCCCAAUAUUUAUUAUAUCAAUUAUCAAUGGUGUGUAACCAAUAGUCUAAAUUCAGACUCACUUAAAAGAAUAUCAUCACACAAAGAUAGAAACCCCCACCCAACCCCAAAUUUUAAGUUGUGUUAAGGUCAUGGAAAGCAAAUACAAAGGGAUAUCUAGCAAAGUAGUUAUGAGGAUAUCAUUGAAUUGCAGUAAUUUAUAGAUCUAAUUAUACAAACAACCACCUCACCCCACCCCCUCACCCACCACAAAAACCCACGCACAAAAUGCUCCAUCUAGCAGGGGCACCUACACCAGCGAGUUGUACUCAUAAGUCAUAAGCAGCCAAGAGCCAACAAGAGGGAAAAGACACUAAAUGAUUGGGUAAAAACACUAAGUAGGAAAUUUAGGAUUCUAAGAGGUUAGUAAUGUGACUUUAGUGAGGUAACAAAUUUGGUUGUUGAUAAAGGAUGAUAAAUUGUUCGAUCAUUAAUAAGGGGCCAUGAAAUGUCUAAUUCUUCCUGUUUAUUUAACACUAGUAACUAUAAAUCAAGUAUACAAUAUGAAAGAGGUAUAUAACCUAGGUGUGAUAUUGAGAAGCUAUGCUUCGAGUUUAAAUUUGGUCACAACUUUAUACUUAAUCUCUUAGAGGAACUCUAGCAAUUGCAUUUGGCCCAUGGGUAUAUAAUAUUUGAUUAUUGAUAAUGGUCAAGGAAUUGUCUUAUUAGUAGUAAAUGGCCAUAAAUGUUUAACCUUCUUGUUCCUUUAACUUUGGUAGCUAAACAUCUAGUAGACAAUGUUGAUGUGGAAUCUAAGAGUGAUAUUAAGAAGCUAUGUUUUCUGGUUUACAUUGGUUGCAGUUUUAUAUCAAUCUUUCUCUAGCAGUGGUCGUUAAACCAUUGGCACCAAACAUAAACAAAUCUAGCACCAAGUUAACAGUACUUCCAAAAUAUUAAGUUUGCUGUCAUGGAAAGACUCUAAGAAAAAAUAAAAAGAUUACUUGUUGCGAAACAAUCAGCAUCUUCAGAAAUUUGAGUUACAGUCAUUUCUAGUUGUGAAAACACAAUACACCACAAUGUGGUGACCAAAUCACUGGUUUCAAAAGCACUAACUUGAUAGCACCUCUACUUAAUACACGAGUCCAGUUGUUGCAAUAUUAUACAAUAAAAGUUAACUAGUUAAAGACAAGAGGGGUUGCUCUGAUCGUAAGCAAUCUCCACUUCCAACCGAGAGGUUGUGAGUUCGAGUCUCCCCAAGAGCAAGGUGGGAAGUUCUUGGAGAGAAGGAUGCCGGGGGUCUAUUUGGAAACAGCCUCUCUACCAAGGGUAGGGGUAAAGUCUGCGUACAUACUACCCUCCCCAAAUCCCACUAAGUGGGAUUAUACUGGGUUGUUGUUGUUGUAAAAGUUAACUAGUUAAAUAGGUAAAGGAGAAAAACAAUUAAGAGACAACUGUAAAAGUACCUCAGACAACUUUUCUAACCGAAUAAAACUCUAUCAGCUUGAGGUACAACCUAAAUUCAAAACAAACAAAAUAAGUAUCCAAGCUACCAUUUCUUAAUUUUAAUACUUCAGAUGUAACAAAUAACAAAAUUAUUCACAUUGACUUAAAUAAGGAUAAAAGCAGCCAUCUUUGUGGGUUCCCUUUUCUUGGAAAUGGCAUUAAGAAAAACUCACAUGAAGUACUUUCUUCCAUGGUACUUGUUUAUGGUUCAAAAACUUAAUAAUCAAUGAUUUUUGAAUGAAGCCCCUAUAGUUAUUAAUAAUAAAGUAAAAAAGUUAUGACUCUUUCAAGUAUGCAGUUACUCUGGUGCAGCUUAAUAUAUUAUCUCAGAGAACAACAAGGCAUAUAACAUAUAUCUUAGGUAAGAAUAUCCAGUUCUCUAAUCGGAAACUGGCAAAACAUGAUAAAACACAAAGUAGUCAUUUUUCCAACCCUCUUACAUGAGUAACAAGAUAGAGUUAUGUUUAAAAAUGACUCUUCAUCGCCAUAUCAUUUCUUCUGUGCUGGUUGCAAAUAUUGUAAAAAUGAGAUAGAGAAAUUUAGGAGUUCAAUUAGCCUAUUACUAAACCCAUAGAAGAUGGAUUUUCAGCUAAACUAUUUUCUUAGCAUAUCCAAACUAAACACAUAGGCCACUUUGGAGAAGCCAUUCUCUAUGUACCACAGAGUUGAAAGCAUUUGUUAAAAGUGUGACAGCAAGCCAUAUCUGGGAAUCCAAACAAUGGAAGUUUCAAAGCUAUUAAACACAAAACCCAAAAUAUUAUAGCAUGAAUUAAGAACCUUUUUGCCAAGAACUAAAAGAUAUAGUAAAAAUAUAUAGCAAUGGUAACAAAACAGUAAAAAAUACCAAAAUAAUUAAGAAAAUUACCAGGCUAGGGUGAUUUUGACCUUUUCUGGUUCGAGCACAAAUCUGAUUUUAGAAUUUGGGGAAGGCUAGCAACUGUCAUUGAAGAAGUGCCAGAACUGUUCAGAAUUUGGGGUUUUGGGCUUUGAGAACUCUAGGGUUUGAUGAUUGUGGUGGUCUAAUAAAGACGUAUUUGAGGACACUCUAACAUUAAUUUGAUGAAGAGCAAGGCAUGAAUAUCUAUACCGUUGUUUGUGAAUCUCAGGCUUGAUAUAGUCAUUGGUCAUUUCCUGCAAAAUCUGAUAAAUGGAGAGAAGCCAGUCUAUAAACAAGUUUUGUUUUCCGACUAUUGGGAUUAUUUUUGCCAAAAGAAAGAGAUCAGAAAGGGAAAUUUGGGUGUAUCGACAUUGGGAGCUGAGUUAGGAUGUAUCGAUAAGGGAGGUACAGUACUAAAGAUACACAGGAGGUGGAAGGGUAUAUUGUAUUUACGUUAUUAAAAUUAAUUAAAAAAUAUAAUAUGACUGGGC
rnacentral:lncRNA from 1 species